CCUGUUUGCACAGCAACUUCAACAUUGUGUUCUGUGAUCACGGCAUAGUUCAGAGGUAGGUAACCUUGGGCAGUCCAGAUGCUGUGAAUUACGUCUCCCAUAAUGCUGGUAAACCAUUAUGGGAGGUGUAGUGCACAACAUCUGGAAUACCGAAUGAGGAUGAAUGCAAAGUAUGGUGUGUGUGAAUGGUCAGUAACAAGGGUUGAAGCCUUGACGUGGCGUUACUGCUCACAUGUGUAUUCAUGUGCCAAUUCAACCAAUGUGAGUCACUGUAAUACUUAUAAGGUAACCAAAAGUACUGUGAUUGUGGAGAAUGAAACGCCUGUAUCACCUAAACACUGCUUACACUGUGACCGUAUUUCCUAAACACUGGUGACACUGUGACCGUAUCUCCUAAACACUCCUAAACACUGGUGACAUUGUGACCGUAUCUCCUAAACACUGGUGACACUGUGACCGUAUCUCUUAUACACUGCUGACACUGUGUCCGUAUCUCCUAUACACUGCUUACACUGUGACCGGAUCUCCUAAACACCGCUGACACUGUGACCGUAUCUCCUAAACACUGCUGACACUGUGACCGUAUCUCCUAUAAAUUGCGACCGUAUCUCCUAUACACUGCUGACACUGUGACCGGAUCUCCUAAACACUGCUGACACUGUGACCGUAUCUCCUAAACACUGCUGACACUGUGACCGUAUUUCCUAUACACUGCGACCGUAUCUCCUAUACACUGCUGACACUGUGAACGUAUCUCCUAAACACUGCUCACACUGUGACCCUAUCGCCUAAACACUGCUUACACUGUGAAUGUUAUUUUUUUCAAGUUAGUUUUAGUGUUUGCGGUUUCAUUGAUUUGUUAACCACUCUCCUCAAUCUUCUGUUCUGUGUUUUCUUACAUUUGUGGGAAGAACAAGGUGAUCCUCUCAAUUUUACACUCCUUUACUGAUGGUUCCAGUGCCAGAGACAAACCCACCACCAUAAACCUCGACCUGCUCAAACAGAAGAGAUUACCUUCUUCUAUAGAAAACGUCCAUAUGGCUGUUUCGGAACACAUGCUGCAGACAUGAUGUAACCUUCAUUUUCCAGUGAUUAAGAAUCGUGGACCGUCCAGGGAAAUAGACCAUUAUAUUAUUAAGAUACUACCUUCCCAAUGCCAUACAGCCUUUCUUUACAUGUGAUUGAACUUUCUCCUUCUUGGAUACCACAGUGUGACUUUUCUUAAC